AAGAUUAAGCCAUGCAUGCGUUAGAUUAAAAGUAGCUUGAACUCAAUCUGCGAAAGGCUCCGUAUAUCUGUUGAAACCUUAGGCGGAAAAGCUGGAGAUGGAAUCGGAUUGGAUCGGCAACGGACAACCGAGGAAAUCCUUUGGCUAAUACGCUAUACAAAAAACUUGAACACAGAAGGUGUCUGCACAGAAAGGCCCCUUCUAAGCAAUUGGGGGGAGUAUUAACACACUUCUUGUGGGUCGUGGGGGGAGGCGCGUUGAGGGCAGAGUGCCGUUCUCGAAACCUUGUCUGGAGACAGGGGAGUACAGGGUGGUCAGCAUUUUUGGCUUUUAGCUCCCUUAAACAAGGGGCGGCCGGGGGUGCCUGCCUCCACGUGGAAAGAACCUGCGAGUACCUCACUGGGGGCCUGGAGGUCAACAGCAUCUGGCGUGUUCUUCAGACCUAUCAACUACAUGCAUGGGGCACGGCCCCACAUGGUUUCAACAGGUACAGAGGAUCAGGGUUCGGUCCUGGAGAGGUAGCCUAAGAGAUCGCUACUACUUCUAAGGAAGGCAGCAGGCGCGCAACGUUCCCCAUGGGGAAACCCUGAGGACGUGAAGGAACAUAGCAAUACCGAGCCCUUAAAAGCCCGGUAAUUGAAAUGGGGGAGAUACAAAUCACCCACCGAGUAACAAUUG
rnacentral:rRNA from 1 species